rnacentral:rRNA from 1 species
GAUGAACGCUGGCGGCGUGCCUAAUACAUGCAAGUCGAGCGAACAGACGAGUAUCUUGCUUUUCUGAUGUUAGCAGCGGACGGGUGAGUAACACGUGGAUAACCUACCUAUAAGACUUGGAUAACGGCGGGAAACCGGAGCUAAUACCGGAUAAUAUUGUUAACCGGAUGGUGCAAAAGUGAAAGACGGGUUUGCUGUCACUUAUAGAUGUAUCCGCGCGUCAGUAGCUAGUUGGUAAGGUAACGGCUUACCAAGGCAACGAUGCCUAGCCGACCUGAGAGCGUGUACGGCCCCACUGGAGGUGAGACACGGCACAGACUCCUAGGGACGGCCGAGGUACGGACUCUUCCGAGCUGGGGGAAAGCUUGAAGGAGCAACGCCGGGUGAGUGCUGAAGGUCUUCGGAUCGUAAAACUCUGUUAUUAUGGAAAACCACAUGUGCAAGUAACUAUGCACUUCUUGACGGUACCUAGUCAGAAAGCCACGGCUAACUACGUG